rnacentral:tRNA from 1 species
AAUUUCUAGAGAUUAUUCAUUUUUACCAUGAAAUAGUAAGGUGGUAGUACACUAUAGAAAGCUUUUAUAGUUUA